UGUUUGACACCCUUACUUGAGCGAUUUAGUUUUUUAAUUUAUGGGAUGAUAUAAUGGUUUUUAACUGUCAGUAACUUUGCUUCUUAUGCAAUGUCAUUGGUAAUUUUACAGACUCAUUUAAAUUCUUUUACCAUGAAGAUGAAGUUAGAUUUGGAUUUCAAAAGGCCGACCUUAACUAACCUGCCCAGAGUAGAUGCGGGUACCUAUUUUUUCAUUAAAAUUUAGCUAAAAACACACAAAAGUUAUUUAAGAAGGAAAAUAUUUUUGCUCACUACUUUAAUCUAAGGUAUAUGCUCACCACCUUUUUUAAUACAUAACUCGUGUCCAUAGACCUAACCAUGGUUAACUUUUUACUUUAAUU
rnacentral:lncRNA from 1 species